GACGAACGCUGGCGGCGUGCCUAAUACAUGCAAGUCGAACGCAGUGGGGACGGGUGCGUAACACGUGGGUAACCUCCCAUAAGAGGGGAUAACACUUGGAAACAGGUGCUAAACCCAUACUGAUGGAUGGACCCGCGGUGCAUUCGCUGGUUGGUGAGGUAACGGCUCACCAAGGCCACGAUGCAUAGCUGGCCUGAGCGGAGUAUCAGCAACACUGGAACUGAGACACGGCCCAGACUCCUACGGGAGGCAGCAGUAGGGAAGCUUGGGCAAUGGGCGAAAGUCUGACCGAGCAAUGCCGCGUGAAUGAAGAAGGUGUGCGGAUCGUAAAGCUCUUUCGGUAGAGAAGCGUUAUCUGACAAGAAAGCCACGGCUAACUACGUGCCAGCAGCCGCGGUAAUUC
rnacentral:rRNA from 1 species